UACGAAGGGGGCGAGCGUUGUUCGGAUUUACUGGGCGUAAAGGGCGCGCAGGCGGCUUAUUUUGUCAGGCGUGAAAGCCCCGGGCUUAACCUGGGAACUGCGUUUGAUACGGAUGGGCUAGAGUUCGGGAGAGGAGAGUGGAAUUCCCGGUGUAGCGGUGAAAUGCGCAGAUAUCGGGAAGAACACCCGUGGCGAAGGCGGCUCUCUGGGACGGUACUGACGCUGAGGCACGAAGGUCAGGGGAGCAAACGGG
rnacentral:rRNA from 1 species